rnacentral:rRNA from 1 species
UACGGAGGAUGCAAGCGUUAUCCGGAAUGAUUGGGCGUAAAGCGUCCGCAGGUGGCAAUGUAAGUCUGCUGUCAAAGCGUCUGGCUCAACCAGAUAAAGGCAGUGGAAACUACAUAGCUAGAGUAAGGUAGGGGUAGAGGGAAUUCCUGGUGUAGCGGUGAAAUGCGUAGAUAUCUGGAGGAAUACCGGUGGCGAAGGCGGCAUCCUGGACCGACAUUGACGCUGAGGAGCGAAAGCUAGGGGAGCAAACGGG